UCAGACACAUUGUUUCUGGCACCUGGUCUCUGUUUUUAUUUUAUUUUUCUUUGGGAAAUGGUGGGACUGUAAUCAUUCUGACUGCACGCAAAACAACUCUUUUCCUAAGUAUUAUUUUUAUUGGAAACAUUUUCAGGUUUCCUGUUUUCAGGAUCCCAAAACCCCAUGUGGUCCUGUCCACCGUUAAACCAUCUGCUCAAGCAGUCUCCAUGUUUCCAGUGUCUUUCUCCCCACUUGGAACUGAACCCAGAUGGACAUUUCAUCCAACAUUAAAUAUAGACUGCAGGCUGAAAGCAAGGAGACCAAAGUGAAAGACCACUAGAUACUUCUUUUUAGAUUGGAAAUUACUUAUAUCUGGAUGAAUGAAGGCAAAUAUGAGAUUUGUUUCUCAAUGGCUUUUUAUGGGUCCAGGUUCAGAAAUGUUAUAUGUGAAGUUAGAAUAAACAAUUCAUUGUUAGAAAUUCUUGAGGAAGUGAAGAGAAGGACAUGUAUUAGCUAUCAUAGAUGUAAAAUAUGAAGAUAUUUAAAAGCUAUAAUUAUUAUUUAUAAGAAAUGUUAUAGUAGAUAGUCAUUAAUCACUCAACUAA